GUGAGGAAUAUUGGUCAAUGGGCGAAAGCCUGAACCAGCCAUGUCGCGUGAAGGAUGAAGGUCCUAUGGAUUGUAAACUUCUUUUGCAGGAGGGUAAAGUGAGCUACGUGUAGUUCAUUGCAAGUACCCUGCGAAUAAGCAUCGGCUAACUCCGUGCCAGCAGCCGCGGUAAUACGGAGGAUGCGAGCGUUAUCCGGAUUUAUUGGGUUUAAAGGGUGCGUAGGCGGACUAAUUAGUCAGCGGUGAAAUUUUGCGGCUCAACCGUAAAACUGCCGUUGAAACUGUUAGUCUUGAGUGCGGUAGAGGUAGGCGGAAUGUGUGGUGUAGCGGUGAAAUGCUUAGAUAUCACACAGAACACCGAUUGCGUAGGCAGCUUACUGGAGCGCAACUGACGCUGAGGCGCGAAAGCCAGGGGAGCAAACGGGAUUAGAAACCCCGGUAGUCC
rnacentral:rRNA from 1 species